rnacentral:rRNA from 1 species
UGAGCAAUCUGCCCUUCUCUUUGGAAUAAGCGUUGGAAACGACGUCUAAUGCCGAAUACGACCUCCUUUCGCAUGAUCGGAGGUGGAAAGCUCCGGCGGAGAAGGAUGAGCUCGCGGCCUAUCAGCUAGUUGGUGUGGGUAAUGGCCCACCAAGGCGACGACGGGUAGCCGGCCUGGGAGGGUGACCGGCCACACUGGGACUGAGACACGGCUCAGACUCCGUACGGGAGGCAGCG